AUGCUUGUAGCUCAGUGGAUAGAGCAGCCCUUUCGCGAAGGGCAGGUCGCGGGUUCGAGUCCCGCCAGGCCCA
rfam:Streptomyces pluripotens strain MTSC 137 chromosome, complete genome.